rnacentral:rRNA from 1 species
AUUGAACGCUGGCGGCAGGCCUAACACAUGCAAGUCGAGCGGAGCGGCGGACGGGUGAGUAAUGCCUAGGAAUCUGCCUGGUAGUGGGGGAUAACGUCCGGAAACGGGCGCUAAUACCGCAUACUAUCAGAUGAGCCUAGGUCGGAUUAGCUAGUUGGUGGGGUAAGGGCCUACCAAGGCGACGAUCCGUACCUGGUCUGAGAGGAUGAUCAGUCACACUGGAACUGAGACACGGUCCAGACUCCUACGGGAGGCAGCAGUGGGGAAUAUUGGACAAGGGGCGAAAGCCUGAUCCAGCCAUGCCGCGUGUGUGAAGAAGGUCGUCGGGUUGUAAAGUACUUUCAGCGGGGAGGCGUUACCCGCAGAAGAAGCACCGGCUAACUCCGGGCCAGCAGCCGCGGUAAUAC